rnacentral:misc_RNA from 1 species
GUGCAGGAGAGGUGAUGGGUAAGGCUCCAGAUGGAAGACAGAGAAGGAAGUUUAAUGAAAGAGGAGAAAAAAGGCACUUGACAGGAAGAGAUGCCAGAAAGGAGAAGAAAACGGUAAUUAAUGAUGAAAGUGAGUAAUUGAGAAAGGAACUAAUUUGUUCGAGAAAGAUAAGAGUAGGAAUUGCAGACAGGGGAGGGGCCCCAGGAGAGCUUGCCCUCAUCUCCUCUUGUCUUUCAGUGUGAUCCAGGCCAAGCCACCAAGUACCUAUAUGAGCUGCUCUACAACGACCCUAUCAAGAUCAUCCUUAUGCCUGGCUGCAGCUCUGUCUCCACGCUGGUGGCUGAGGCUGCUAGGAUGUGGAACCUCAUUGUGCUUUCCUAUGGCUCCAGCUCACCAGCCCUGUCAAACCGGCAGCGUUUCCCCACUUUCUUCCGAACGCACCCAUCAGCCACACUCCACAACCCUACCCGCGUGAAACUCUUUGAAAAGUGGGGCUGGAAGAAGAUUGCUACCAUCCAGCAGACCACUGAGGUCUUCACUUCGACUCUGGACGACCUGGAGGAACGAGUGAAGGAGGCUGGAAUUGAGAUUACUUUCCGCCAGAGUUUCUUCUCAGAUCCAGCUGUGCCCGUCAAAAACCUGAAGCGCCAGGAUGCCCG